UACGAAGGGGGCUAGCGUUGUUCGGAAUUACUGGGCGUAAAGCGCACGUAGGCGGACAUUUAAGUUGGAGGUGAAAGCCUUGGGCUCAACCCAAGAAUUGCCUUUGAUACUGGAUGUCUCGAGACCGGGAGAGGUGAGUGGAAUUCCGAGUGUAGAGGUGAAAUGCGUAGAUAUUGGGAGGAACACCAGUGGCGAAGGCGGCUACCUGGACCGGUUCUGACGCUGAGGCGCGAAAGCGUGGGUAGCAAACAGG
rnacentral:rRNA from 1 species